rnacentral:rRNA from 1 species
UACGUAGGGCGCAAGCGUUAUCCGGAAUUACUGGGCGUAAAGAGCUCGUAGGUGGUUUGUCGCGUUGUUCGUGAAAUCUCACGGCUUAACUGUGAGCGUGCGGGCGAUACGGGCAGACUGGAGUACUGCAGGGGAGACUGGAAUUCCUGGUGUAGCGGUGGAAUGCGCAGAUAUCAGGAGGAACACCGGUGGCGAAGGCGGGUCUCUGGGCAGUAACUGACGCUGAGGAGCGAAAGCGUGGGGAGCGAACAGG